ACGGGAGGCAGCAGUGGGGGAUAUUGCACAAUGGGGGAAACCCUGAUGCAGCGACGCCGCGUGAGUGAUGAAGUAUUUCGGUAUGUAAAGCUCUAUCAGCAGGAAAGAUAAUGACGGUACCUGACUAAGAAGCACCGGAUAAAUACGUGCCAGCAGCCGCGGUAAUACGUAGGUGGCAAGCGUUAUCCGGAUUUACUGGGUGUAAAGGGCGCGUAGGCGGGAGAGCAAGUCAGAUGUGAAAUCCAUGGGCUUAACCCAUGAACUGCAUUUGAAACUGUUCUUCUUGAGUGCUGGAGAGGUAGACGGAAUUCCUUGUGUAGCGGUGAAAUGCGUAGAUAUAAGGAAGAACACCAGUGGCGAAGGCGGUCUACUGGACAGUAACUGACGCUGAGGCGCGAAAGCGUGGGGAGCAAACAGGAUUAGAUACCCUGGUA
rnacentral:rRNA from 1 species